rnacentral:rRNA from 4 species
UGUUGUGAGAAGUUCAUUAAACCUUAUCAUUUAGAGGAAGGAGAAGUCGUAACAAGGUUUCCGUAGGUGAACCUGCGGAAGGAUCAUUG